rnacentral:sRNA from 2 species
GAAUAAACGGGAUGGAAGCGGUAUCCUUUUGCUACCAGCCAGAGCGGAGCAAAAGGGCAGCAAAAGAUUUAGCGGACAGCCCGGCCAGAG